UACUAAUGGAUUCUAGGUGACACUAAUUUAUAGCUACAUUAUUUUUUGAAAGUAUUAAGUAAUUGUUAGGUCUUAUUCAGACAACAUUAAUGUUUUUAUAGGUGGGAUCUAAUCGUCGUGGGGGUAUGGACUGACCUCUUGCAAAGAAAUGCUCUACGAUGGUCGUUAGCUAGAGUUGACAAUAACAUAAUUAUUGGAACUAUGCUGCGUCGUAACAAUAAACACAGAUGCUUGGAAACCUCGGAUUACAGCACCGUUCAUUUCAACCCAGAUCAUCACACUACAUACCACUUGAAGACUAUUCGACGUUCGUUGAUUCAAAAUCCAAGGCGUCGUAUCGUCGACAAAUUUCUUGAGAACAGACGGGCACAUCUCACAACUGUGAUAUCUGAUUGAGACGUAUUCUAGCUUGUUAUAGUAGAUACUUUGUUAGUUAUGAUUUAGAUGAAACUUAGUAGUAAUGAUUUGUUCUCUAUUUUGUAUUAGUCGUGUGUUCGGUCUCAAUGGUGAUCACUUUGUA